rnacentral:rRNA from 1 species
AGAGUUUGAUCCUGGCUCAGGACGAACGCUGGCGGCGUGCCUAACACAUGCAAGUCGAGCGAGGAAGAGGAGAUAGCUUGCUAACUCCUGUUUCUAGCGGCGGACGGGUGAGUAACGCGUGAGCAACCUGCCUUUAUCAGGGGGAUAACGCAUCGAAAGAUGUGCUAAUACCGCGUAAGACCACAGCCUCACAUGGGGCAGGGGUCAAAGGAGGAAUCCGGAUAAAGAUGGGCUCGCGUCCGAUUAGCUAGUUGGUGAGAUAACAGCCCACCAAGGCGACGAUCGGUAGCCGACCUGAGAGGGUGAUCGGCCACAUUGGAACUGAGAGACGGUCCAGACUCCUACGGGAGGCAGCAGCGGGGAAUAUUGGGCAAUGGGCGAAAGCCUGACCCAGCAACGCCGCGUGAGGGAAGAAGGGUUUCGGCUCGUAAACCUCUGUCCUAUGGGACGAAGGAAGUGACGGUACCAUAGGAGGAAGCCCCGGCUAACUACGUGCCAGCAGCCGCGGUAAUACGUAGGGGGCGAGCGUUGUCCGGAAUGAUUGGGCGUAAAGGGCGCGUAGGCGGCCUGCUAAGUCUGAAGUGAAAGUCCUGCUUUCAAGGUGGGAAGUGCUUUGGAUACUGGUGGGCUGGAGUGCAGGAGAGGAAAGCGGAAUUACCGGUGUAGCGGUGAAAUGCGUAGAGAUCGGUAGGAACACCAGUGGCGAAGGCGGCUUUCUGGACUGAAACUGACGCUGAGGCGCGAAAGCGUGGGGAGCAAACAGGAUUAGAUACCCUGGUAGUCCACGCGGUAAACGAUGAAUGCUAGGUGUAGGAGGUAUCGACCCCUUCUGUGCCGCAGUAAACACAAUAAGCAUUCCGCCUGGGGAGUACGGCCGCAAGGUUGAAACUCAAAGGAAUUGACGGGGGCCCGCACAAGCAGCGGAGCAUGUGGUUUAAUUCGAAGCAACGCGAAGAACCUUACCAGGUCUUGACAUCCGUGUAAAGCCGCAGAGAUGCGGUGUGAGCUUGCUCAAUACGAGACAGGUGGUGCAUGGUUGUCGUCAGCCCGUGUCGUGAGAUGUUGGGUUAAGUCCCGCAACGAGCGCAACCCUUAUCGUCCGUUACUAACAGGCAAUGCUGAGGACUCAGACGAGACCGCCGGGGACAACUCGGAGGAAGGUGGGGACGACGUCAAAUCAUCAUGCCCCUUACGACCUGGGCUACACACGUGCU